rnacentral:rRNA from 1 species
UACGUAGGGUGCAAGCGUUAAUCGGAAUUACUGGGCGUAAAGCGUGCGCAGGCGGUUUUGUAAGUUUGUCGUGAAAGCCCCGGGCUCAACCUGGGAAUUGCGAUGAAGACUGCAAGGCUUGAAUCUGGCAGAGGGGGGUAGAAUUCCACGUGUAGCAGUGAAAUGCGUAGAGAUGUGGAGGAACACCGAUGGCGAAGGCAGCCCCCUGGGUCAAGAUUGACGCUCAUGCACGAAAGCGUGGGGAACAAAACAGG